rnacentral:rRNA from 1 species
GUGGGGAAUCUUGGACAAUGGGCGCAAGCCUGAUCCAGCCAUGCCGCGUGGAUGAUGAAGGCCCUAGGGUUGUAAAAUCCUUUCGUCAGGGACGAUAAUGACGGUACCUGAAGAAGAAGCCCCGGCUAACUUCGUGCCAGCAGCCGCGGUAAUACGAAGGGGGCUAGCGUUGUUCGGAAUUACUGGGCGUAAAGCGCAUGUAGGCGGGUCGUUAAGUCGGGGGUGAAAGCCCAGAGCUCAACUCUGGAACUGCCUUCGAUACUGGCGACCUGGACCCAAGGAGAGGCGAGUGGAAUUGCGAGUGUAGAGGUGAAAUUCGUAGAUAUUCGCAGGAACACCAGUGGCGAAGGCGACUCGCUGGACUUGUGGUGACGCUGAGAUGCGAAAGCGUGGGGAGCAAACAGGAUUAGAAACCCCUGUAGUCC